AGCUCCAAUAGCGUAUAUUUAAGUUGUUGCAGUUAAAAAGCUCGUAGUUGGAUUUCGGGUGUGAACGACCGGUCCGUCUUUGAUGUGUACUGGUUGGUUGCGCCUUAUUGUCGAGGACGUGGUUCUAGCUUUCAUUAGCCGGGACACGGAGUCGGCAGCGUUACUUUGAGAAAAUUAGAGUGUUCAAAGCAGGCUAUCGCUCUGAAUACUACAGCAUGGAAUAACACGAUAGGACUCCGAGCCUAUUCUGUUGGUCUUCGGGACCGGAGUAAUGAUUAAGAGGGACAGUUGGGGGCAUUCGUAUUCCGAUGUCAGAGGUGAAAUUCUUGGAUUAUCGGAAGACGAACAUCUGCGAAAGCAUUUGCCAAGGAUGUUUUCAUUAAUCAAGAACGAAAGUAGG
rnacentral:rRNA from 1 species